rnacentral:rRNA from 1 species
GGGGAGUGAAAAAGAACCUGAAACCGUGUACGUACAAGCAGUGGGAGCCCCACCACCAAAGCGUUUCGCUUUGUGUGGUGCACAAAGAAGCGUAACGACAGCACUGAAUGACGGUUAACGGAGCGCAAGCGACGUUCAACAUACAAAGUCAAGCAGUGGAGCGCUUUGGGGUGGGGUGACUGCGUACCUUUUGUAUAAUGGGUCAGCGACUUAUAUUCUGUAGCAAGGUUAACCGAAUAGGGGAGCCGGAGGGAAACCGAGUCUUAAUUGGGCGUUAAGUUGCAGGGUAUAGACCCGAAACCCGGUGAUCUAGCCAUGGGCAGGUUGAAGGUUGGGUAACACUAACUGGAGGACCGAACCGACUAAUGUUGAAAAAUUAGCGGAUGACCUGUGGCUGGGGGUGAAAGGCCAAUCAAACCGGGAGAUAGCUGGUUCUCCCCGAAAGCUAUUUAGGUAGCGCCUCGUGAAUUCAUCUCCGGGGGUAGAGCACUGUUUCGGCUAGGGGGCCAUCCCGGCUUACCAACCCGAUGCAAACUGCGAAUACCGGAGAAUGUUAUCACGGGAGACACACGGCGGGUGCUAACGUCCGUCGUGAAGAGGGAAACAACCCAGACCGCCAGCUAAGGUCCCAAAGUCAUGGUUAAGUGGGAAACGAUGUGGGAAGGCCCAGACAGCCAGGAUGUUGGCUUAGAAGCAGCCAUCAUUUAAAGAAAGCGUAAUAGCUCACUGGUCGAGUCGGCCUGCGCGGAAGAUGUAACGGGGCUAAACCAU